rfam:Oryza nivara chromosome 3, whole genome shotgun sequence.
AAAAAGGCAAAUUCUGAGUUUUCGUGCCAACAUUUAACUGUCCGUUUUAUAUGAAUUUUUUUUAUGAUUAGUAUUUUUAUUGUUGUUAGAUGAUAAAACAUGAUUAAUACUUUAUGCGUGACUUAUCUUUUUAAUUUUUUUAUAAUUUUUUCAAAUAAGACGAACGGUCAAACGUUGAACACGGAAACCAGGGUUUGUCUUUUU